UAACGAAUCUUCCGCAAUGCACGCAAGUGUGACGGAGCGACGCCGCGUGGAGGUUAAGUCCUUCGGGAUGUAAACUCCUGUCAGGGGUUACCAAGUUCUGAGGAGCCCCAGAGGAAGGCACGGCUAACUCUGUGCCAGCAGCCGCGGUAAUACAGAGGUGCCGAGCGUUAGGCGGAAUCACUGGGCUUAAAGCGCGUGUAGGCGGGUCGUUAAGUGUCCGUGUGAAAUCCCACAGCUCAACUGUGGAACUGCCGGGCAUACUGGCGAUCUUGAGGCACCCAGGGGCGAGCGGAACAAAUGGUGGAGCGGUGAAAUGCGUAGAUAUCAUUUGGAACGCCAAUGGUGAAAACAGCUCGCUGGGGGUGUCCUGACGCUGAGACGCGAAAGCCAGGGGAGCAAA
rnacentral:rRNA from 1 species